UACGGAGGAUGCGAGCGUUAUCCGGAUUUAUUGGGUUUAAAGGGUGCGUAGGCGGGUUAUCAAGUCAGCGGUAAAAUCGUGGAGCUCAACUCCAUCCAGCCGUUGAAACUGGCAGUCUCGAGUUGGAGAGAAGUAUGCGGAAUGCGCGGUGUAGCGGUGAAAUGCAUAGAUAUCGCGCAGAACUCCGAUUGCGAAGGCAGCAUACCGGCGCCCGACUGACGCUGAAGCACGAAAGCGUGGGUAUCGAACAGG
rnacentral:rRNA from 1 species